rnacentral:lncRNA from 1 species
GCAGAUUUCAUCUUGUUGUGCCCAAAAUACCUAAAGGAACUCGCAUGUACAACAUUCGUAUAUUAUCCAGUGAAUGAAAUCAAUUCUCACCUGCUAUGAACUCCGGCAGCCCUGAACUCAAUCCCAACUCCGAUCUCAAUAUUUGAUCCGACACAAAUCGAUACACAAAACAUAUACACGUAAACCCAGUGAAUGAAAUCAAUUCUCACCUUCAAGCUGAUUGAAUUGAUCGAAAUCAAAGAAAGAGAGGAGAAGAGAGAAAUAAACCCUAAUCCCAAUUUCAACAAGGCUCUGCGUGUGUGUUCUGUGGGCGAUUUUUAUUCAGUUAUAUAUAUCCAGGUCUCUCUAUCUCUUCUUUCUCAUUUGUUUUUAAAAUUUGCUUAGAUAUUAGCAAUUUGAAUUGCUCGAUUCGAUAAGUUGAUUAUGUUUUGUGUGUCCGCCUGUUUAUGUUUGUUUACGGCUUCAGUUGCUCUGUUUUAAAAUUUUUGUAUAAGAAUUGAAUCUAGUUUUGUGGACAUCAGCGUUCUUUUCCGAUAGUUGAUUGAUUAUGAAUCUGUUGGUUACAAAUUGUCUGUCUAAUUCUAUUGAUGGUUACCGCUGUGUGAGUGUGAUUUUGUGCACGGAUAGCCUUGAUUAGUGAUUCUAUUUACGGGCUAACAAAUCAGAACUAGAUCUAUAAAAGUUUUUUGUGUGUAUGAUACAUAAGCUGAAUCUAUUGGAUAUUAUCGAAUUUGUUCUUAGUAUUUCAGUGUUUUAUUGUUGAUUAUCUUAGGAGUUUAUUGAAUAUGAUCGCCACAUGCUCAGGAAUCAGAUAGACUAGUUGACUAUAUGGAACUGAACCUAGUUUUGUGUGUAGGUUUAUGUUUCGAUUCUACUAUCUGCACAAGUUAGACUUAUGAGUACUAGUUCUCUGUAUAUUUUAAUGUGUAUAGCUAUGUGAUAUUGUGUACAUUAAUAGAAUUCUGUAUUUUUGCUGAGAUUCACAUGUUUGUAUUUUAGUUCUAGUAAUAAGUUGUUUGUGCGGAUCUCUGUAUUUUAGUUCUAGUAAUAAGUUGUUUGUGCGGAUCUCUUUCAUGCUAAUAUGACUGUACCACAAAGGUUGGGGGCCAUGUACGAUGGCUUUGUGUGUCUUUUAGAGACAAUAUGGUACCCAAGUUGGGCGAUGGUGUAUACCAUUUUACACAGUUAUGUCUUUUGACAUAUAAAAUGCUAUUAUCUCCAUGUCUAAUUAUGAUAAGUUAAUAAAUAGUAAGCUCUGAUAGUAUAUUUGUAAUGUGGAAUCCGAUUUGUCAGUAAUGAUUAUACAAGUAUGAAUAUUUGGUGUCUCAGGAAGGAGAACCACCAUUAGCUAGUGUCUAGUGGUAUCUUAAACUGAAAACAAGAAACGCUGUAGAGAUUUUUCAGGUUGGCAUUUAAACCUUUUAAAAGGAACAAGUGAAAGAUUAAUUUUCCUUUGAAUUAGUAAAAAAAUACAAACACUGGAAUCUUCUUUUGUAAUAUCCCCAUAACAAACCAGUAUAUGAUCAUACUGAUACUUUGCAUCAGAUUAUAGGCAUCAAUCCAGGAGUUAGGAAUACUGCUUCUCAGCAUAUAAUAAGAAUAAGUUAACUGUUUUAUAAAAAUCACUUAGACGAGCAUAACUAAAGGACAUUUUUGAAAUACAAAACACAUGUUAUCAAUUAAUAUGAACUGCUAUGAUUAAGCAUUAAUCUAGGCCGAUAAGGAGCAAAAUCAUGGAUAUGAAUAAAUCAGUAUAGAGUCAGUUAUAUGGUAAUUUAUAAAAUUAAAGGAGACUAAAUAGGAAUUAAUUCUAUUUAAUUACAUUGAAUAUGAGUUAAUUGGUGAUGAGAAAAUGUCUCAUAUUCAAUUAGGGCAUAUUUUUUGGUAAGUACCAUUAAAACAGAGGUGAUCAGUCAAUAGGAUAAGCCUAAUUGAAAGGGUACUUAAUUACGGACUAAAAUAAUGUUCUAAUGAUGGACCAUAUAGAAUAUAGUUAUAUAAUUAGAGCAAAUAACAAACAAAUAUCAUCAAAUAGCCUGUUCUUCAGUGCCUUAUUUUGUCUGUUGGCUUCUUUGCAAGUUCUUGAUUAUUAUGAAUACCAGGCGAUUGCAGAGCUAAUGACCACAAUAUUUCAUCAGGCUCAAAUGACAUCAAACUUAUACAUACAUUAACUGGAUGGUAUUUGCACAUAGCUUAUUGGACAAUACCUGAAGUGUUUACAAACAAUAAAAAUAAUCUGGAGGUAAUUCUGAAUCAUCUUUAUUGUAUGACUCUGCUCCGGUUUCAAAUCACUUGGCUUGGCGAGAUUCGGUUUAUGAAAUAGUAAUAUGUUUUUCUUUGUCUCAAAGUAAGAAUACUGCUUAUUGGCCGAGAAUACUGGAUCUUUACUUGAAGUAAGAAAACCAGCAGUUGAUGGUGGGAUAGAACAGUUAAGAAAAGAGAUGACUGUGAUGAUGCAGGAGGUCAUUGAAUUGCAGCAGCAACAUCAUGGAACGAUUCAGCAUAUGGAAGCAGUGAACGAAAAGCUCCAAGCAGCAGAACAGAAGCAGAAGCAAAUGGUUUUCUUUCUUAGCAAAAGUGUUCCACAACCCUGCGUUCUUGGCUCAUUUUGAGAACAUUGGUUCAUAUAAAUUCGACAUACCAGAUGAUCUUCCCAGGCCCCUAGAGCCUAAAGAGUGUUUUCAGGAGUAUUCUGUGUCUUCCGGAUUUGAAGAAUUGACAAGACCAGACAUGGGUUUGAAUCUGGUAUGUCAGGCUCCAACAAUGAAGUGUGGGGUAAUUUUAAUAAUUUUGUUGCACCAGAAUUCGGAGUCAUCGGCGGAAUGUCAGAUAUAUGGGAUGUAAGUUCCUCAGAGGUGGCAGUAGGUCCUGAAUUCGAUAUUUGGCGCGCUGAUGAGUAUUGAUUUAAAAAGCUUCAGAGCCAAGUUGGCCAGCCCCCUAGGAAUUCAACUUCUUUGGCAGUUAGAAGCACAUUUUGGUUUAUAAAGAAAAAGAGUUUAGGGUGGUCGUAUAGAUGCUUUAAAUGUAUAUAUACCAUAUCUUUUCUAGGGCAGAGGCCUUUCUUGAUGGAAUCUGUGAGCAUUUUAUUGAUAGAAUAGUUGUAUUUGCAUAUAAAAUUCUUUGUUUGUGUUAAUUUGUUUUCACAAGAAAGAAAGGUUUAGUAUGAAUUAUGAAUAUUUUAUUACUUGUGUGUCUAACCAAAGUUCUUGCUUUGGUUAGACAUUUUAAUUUUUAUUUGUCUAUAUUCUUUAUUAGUUUAAAAUAUUCUUUUUGUUGAAUAAGUUGUUAUGCCUUGUGUUGAAUAUUCUUUUAUUUGGUUUUUAUAGGUUUUCCCCCACAAUAUAUACUUUUUCUGCUUAAAUUAUUAUUCUCAUGUUUUCUCUUUGCUUGUUUUGAUUUUUAGGAUCCUGGAAAGAGACUUAUGGGUUUUCUUAUUCAGACUUUAAAGUCUUAUUAUCUAAACGUCCGGAGAUAUCUUGCAUAUCUUUCGGUUAGAUGAUAAACUUUGAUGGAUGAAAGAAAUCUCUGUUGCUGCUUAUUGUAUCUAUGAUACAACUCAUCUACGAGAAUGUAGACCCUGACAAAAAAAAAAA